UACAGAGGGUGCAAGCGUUAAUCGGAUUUACUGGGCGUAAAGGGUGCGUAGGUGGUUGCAUAAGUCGGAUGUGAAAGCCCCGGGCUCAACCUGGGAACUGCAUUCGAUACUGUGCGACUCGAGUUCGGUAGAGGGCGGCGGAAUUUCCGGUGUAGCAGUGAAAUGCGUAGAUAUCGGAAGGAACAUCAGUGGCGAAGGCGGCUUCCUGGACCAAUACUGACGCUGAGGUGCGAAAGCGUGGGGAGCAAACAGG
rnacentral:rRNA from 1 species